rnacentral:rRNA from 1 species
GAUGAACGCUGGCGGCGUGCCUAACACAUGCAAGUCGAACGGAGUUAUGAAGUUUUCGGACGGAUUAACUUAGUGGCGGACGGGUGAGUAACGCGUGGGUAACCUGCCUCAUACAGGGGGAUAACAGUUGGAAACGACUGCUAAAACCGCAUAACAUUGCGAUUCCGCAUUGCGAUGCAAUUAAAUAUUUAUAGGCAUGAGAUGGGCCCGCUUCUGAUUAGCUAGUUGGUGAGGUCAUGGCUCACCAAGGCGACGAUCAGUAGCAUGCUUGAGAGAGUGACCGGACACAUGGGGGCUGAUCCACAGCCCAAACUCCUACUGGAGGCAGCAGUGGGGAAUAUUGCACAAUGGGCGAAAGCCUAAUGCAGCGACGCCGCGUGAGUGAAGAAGUAUUUCGGUAUGUAAAGCUCUAUCAGCAGGGAAGAUAAUGACGGUACCUGACUAAGAAGUCCCGGCUAACUACGUGCCUGCCGCCGUCGUAA